rnacentral:snRNA from 1 species
CUAUUAUUCAUAAGGAUUUUCUU